UACGAAGGGGCUAGCGUUGCUCGGAAUCACUGGGCGUAAAGGGUGCGUAGGCGGGUCUUUAAGUCAGGGUGAAAUCCUGGAGCUCAACUCCAGAACUGCCUUUGAUACUGAAGAUCUUGAGUUCGGGAGAGGUGAGUGGAACUGCGAGUGUAGAGGUGAAAUUCGAUAGAUAUCGCAAGAACACCAGUGGCGAAGGCGGCUCACUGGCCCGGAACUGACGCUGAGGUGCGAAAGCGAUGG
rnacentral:rRNA from 1 species